rnacentral:lncRNA from 1 species
AUGGCAGUUGAUGAUAUAGUUUGAUUGAUAAAUUAUGUGACUGAUAGAUGUUUAUAAGGUCUUUUAAUAAUGUUUAUAAGCUCACGGUUUUGUUAAAAACUAGGACUCACUCAGUAUAACUCACUUUUAUUAUGUAUGUCAUGUAAUUGAUAAACGGUGGAAUGAAAGUUGCUCCCCUCCCGAGCUGGCAUCCUAUGGAUUUUAAUUACUUAAAGCACAUCAUGUAUUAAAGUUUUUAAUGUAACGACAAUUUACGUUUUUCACUGCAAUUCAAAUGAUUUUACCGAUUAAGAACUAAGUCUAAAUAUGCAAAUCCUACUGUGAGGUCCCUGAGGUUGGGGUCUUACAUUUAUACUUAUCACAUUAUUGUUGGGUUCUUACAUGUGUACUUGUCACAUUAUUGUAUUAUGUAAUUGUUUUUUAGUUUGAUGACCAUUGCAAUAAGUUUUGAUGUGUCAUGUUUCACUUACCUUAUAAAGGGCAAUCAUUACUAGGGUGUUCACGAUUCGGUUUAAACUGUAAAACUGUCUAAGCCGGUCAUCAGUUUUGUUUGCCGAUCGUUUUUUAGUUUUCGGUUGGUCAAUUUCAAAAUUUUCAAACGAGGCUUGGUUGGCAGUUUACACUUAAAACCGGACCAUUGGAUAAAAAAAAACGUUAAUAAAGGUUUGACCUAAAAACUGUCAAAACCGAACCAUGACACACCUAAUCAUUACGAUGAUGCAUUCAAAAAUAUAGGUUUGAUGUACACACUUGAAGUUGUUUUUAUAAAGAUCGAAAAAAUAACGGAACGAGCUUUGGAAAAAAAUUAAACAUAACAACGGAAUAAUGAUACAAUAAUUCUUAAUUUUUUUUACUCUUUUACAUGCAAUAACAUGACUCAUUGUGUAAUUAU